CCAACCUAAGUGUAUGAAGACUUCCCGACUUCAACUGUAUAUUAUACAUUGUUUUCUUGGGUUUAGAACUUUAUUUUUGUGUCCAGUUAGUGCAAUUUAUUUAAAUGUGCCUUGCUAACUUCAGUAGCUAGCUAGCUACCAGUGUGAGACGGCAUUUUUCUCCGCCAGAAUGGUAGAAUGGCCAACGCUGCCGAACAUGUUGUGGACCUUUUGUUGAAGAACCCCCUUUCAUUCUUUGGGGUACACGGAAAAGCCAAGUCCCCUCCUGUUCCCUGACUGAGAGUUGAUGACUACUCCACUCCACUACCAUUGUCAACUUUCUCCUGACAUGAACUAAAGCCAUGACGUCUCAUGUGCCCUCUCAUCCACUGGCACAUUGAGUGUUUCCCUUCAAAGCACUUAAAAUCCUGUCCUGCAUUGGACAAGCCUCUGAACAUCUAAACUCCUGCCUCAUGCCCUCAUUCAAUCACUGCUAUGAUCCUUUUCCAACACUGUCCAAUUGAGGAUUUUAUCUCCACAUGGAGGUGGAAGGUAUAUGAUAGGCGCCCUCACGAACAAGCCGCCCUUCUCCAGGCCAUGG